AACAAACGCUGGCGGCGUGCCUAACACAUGCAAGUCGUACGAGAAAGGGUCCUUCGGGAUCUGAGUAAAGUGGCGCACGGGUGAGUAACGCGUGGAUAAUCUGCCCUUCAGUUGGGAACAACUCAUCGAAAGGUGGGCUAAUACCGAAUAACACUGUGAGACUUUGGUCGAGCAGUCAAAGAGAGCCUCUGCUUGCAAGCCCUCGCUGAAGGAUGAGCCCGCGUACCAUUAGCUUGUUGGCAGGGUAAUGGCCUACCAAGGCGACGAUGGUUAGCUGGUCUGAGAGGAUGAUCAGCCACACUGGAACUGAGAUACGGUCCAGACUCCUACGGGAGGCAGCAGUGAGGAAGCUUGCGCAAUGGGGGAAACCCUGACGCAGCAACGCCGCGUGAGUGAGGAAGGUCUUCGGAUCGUAAAGCUCUGUCAGUUGGGAAGAAAUGCCUGAUGGUUAAUACCCAUCAGGCUUGACGGUACCAACAGAGGAAGCACCGGCUAACUCCGUGCCAGCCGCCGCCGUAA
rnacentral:rRNA from 1 species